AAUUAGAGAGCUUGAAUAAGCAUUCGACUUUUAAUCGAAAGAAAGCAAACUGCUUCUAAUUA
rnacentral:tRNA from 1 species